CUAACCACUCCCUACAAGUCAAGCAUUAGAGUCACUAUAAUAAAAAUAGGCAUUAGUGGCAGUUUUUUAACUAGCAAAUGGAUGACUAUUGGUAGAAAUUUUAAGUCUUUGGCGGUGCCGCUUAAACCCCGCAAAACCCAGAUUUUCCCUCUCCUGCUCUUUUAUUUUCUCACCCUUUCGUAUUCCCACUCUCUCUCUCUCUCUCUCUCUCUCUCUCUCGACCAGUUUUUCACCUCUUAUUCUCAAUCUCUCUCUCUCAACCAUUUCUGAUUUCUCAUCAGCAACAGAAUCUCUCUCUGAAGCUCUAGUGCAGUAACAAGUGGGAGACCACGUUAGAUCUUAAGUUUGAGUUCAUUUUCCAAUGCAACAAACUUCUCGUAAUCACGCCACAAUCUUAUUGAUUCAAUGAAGGCCCUCUCUCUCUCUCCAACAAUCUUCAUUGGAUUUUCUUUUUUUUCUGAAACAACCUCCUCGUCUCAGGUUCUCACAUCUCACAUCCUUAUUCAUUCAUUAGCGACAAAAGGUCUGAGGUUUUCUUGAAGACAAAAAUUCCAUGAAGUCAAAACCAAAGUGGGCUUUCUAUGAUUUGAUGAUGUGAGAGAAGCAAUGUGGUAUCUUGCUGGUGGAAUAGCAUAGAUGCAGCAAGGACGACUCUAUUACCACCAUGAAGAAGGAUUAGAGACCUAGAUUUGUUUGUCUCUCUCUUUAAGGGAAUUUAUAUUAUUUAUGUUGAGAAGCUAUACAGAGGUGGAAAUCUAGUGGAUGUUGCAAGAUUACUACAUCAUCUACGUAAUAAGUAGUAAUUCUUGAGUGCAAAUUCAUAUAAUGCCCUCUUGAUGGCCACUAGUGAAGGGAAUGAUUUUGAGCUUCUAUUUCAAAUAUUGAAGGAUUUCUUGCUCUCAUGUCAAACUGUGAGUUCAAUUUCAUAUUUUAAUCUUGCCAAGGGCCUUUCAAAGGCAACCGAUUUUGUGCUUUUACUUAAUUUCAUAAGAGAAGUAUCAGAAGUAGCAUUUCCAAGAAGUGCAAUGAUCAUCCACAAGAUCAUUUAUGGCUUUGAUGAAGACAAGCAUAACUUUUCUCUCAUAUCCCAAGAGGAGAAGUUCUCUCUCAUAUCCAAACAAGAUUUUGAGAGAAGUUGAAAAGAAGUUUUUGUAAAUGAAGUCUUUUGAAUGGAACUGGAUAUUUUUAAGAACAAAUGGAUGUAAUUUAUAUUUUUAAGAAUGAAUGAAUGAAUGGGGAAUAAUUAUUUUA